AUUGAACGCUGGCGGCAGGCCUAACACAUGCAAGUCGAACGAGUGGCGGACGGGUGAGUAAUGUCUGGGAAACUGCCUGAUGGAGGGGGCUGACUGCUGGAAAAGGUAGCUAAUACCGCAUACCAUCAGAUGUGCCCAGGUGGGAUUAGCUAGUUGGUGGGGUAACGGCUCACCAAGGCGACGAUCCCUAGCUGGUCUGAGAGGAUGACCAGCCACACUGGAACUGAGACACGGUCCAGACUCCUACGGGAGGCAGCAGUGGGGAAUAUUGGGCAAUGGGCGCAAGCCUGAUGCAGCCACGCCGCGUGUAUGAAGAAGGCCUUCGGGUUGUAAAGUACUUUCAGCGGGGAGGCGUUACCCGCAGAAGAAGCACCGGCUAACUCCGUGCCAGCAGCCGCGGUAAUAC
rnacentral:rRNA from 1 species